rnacentral:snoRNA from 1 species
AUCCUUUUGUGGUUCAUAAGUGUGAUGAUUGGGUGUUCACAUGCAUGCGUGACAUGUGCCACCCUCAAACCUUGUUAUGCACCGGCACAUUACCCAUCUGACA